CAAAUUAAAGCUUUAAGAAGUUUUUUAUUUACAUUAAAAAGAUUAUUGUUAUACAGUAUAAUUUGA
rnacentral:tRNA from 1 species